UAAUCUCCAACUACAACAAUCACCAGUAUUUCGAGCUGGCGAAGAGGGCACUUAACCAGUACAUAAUAUCUGUCAAUCAGUGCAUGAGUGAAGCUCCAUGGGAUAACUAAACCCAUUAUCGUCACCAAGAAGUUGCAAGCAGAACCAGGUUUGGAAGAUCCAGAAGUGCCUUUCACCAUUUCUUUUCCUUGCCUUCUUUUUCCACCCGAACCCACCGCACAAACCCUAGCUGACAAAGGCAGCAAUCCUUAAUACAAAACCCUAGAUAGGAAACGAGAAAAUUAGGGCCUGUAAAUGGGGGAUCUGCAAAUCGAGUACAAGCAUACACAUAUGCAUACAAAGGAGGGGAGAGAGAGGAUAAUACAUGGUGGGGGAAAAACAACUACGAGAGAAUUGGCCGCGAGUAUUUUUUUGGGGAACGCUAUUGUAAAUUGGGCGCAAGUGUUUCCUUCUUUUUCUCCUACUAAAUGCUAUAAUUGUAUCCCUAUAACAGCAUUCCUAAAAAAAGGCUAUCAAUUAAUGCUAUUAAAACCCAUAUUUGUUGUAGUGUGGUUCAAAUACAUUACAGGAACAAGUU